rnacentral:piRNA from 1 species
UGAGAAAGUCCUCUCUGACUGGUGCUC